rnacentral:lncRNA from 1 species
GGAGCAGAGUGAGGAGAGGGAGAGGGGAGAGAGGAGGCUGGAAAUCACCAAAAGCCACAACUACUGAAGUCAGGUCUCUGCCAUGUGCUGGGUGACCUUAGUUCCGAGCUGGAGUCCCUGCAUCAAGCCGUUCCUGAAGCCAGCGUCCUUGAAUAUGUUUCCUUCAGCUAUGAGAGCCAGCUCCCCUGCUUUUCACUAAGUGCCAUUAGCAGAAAGCAACACGCACGCGCCAUCUCUCCCACCUGGGCCCGGGAGGCGGUGCCCACCUACUGCGAGAUUCCCCCCCCGGCCACUGGCUCAAGACCGUCGGCACGGUCCAUCUGAGCAGCACCCACCGUGCGCUGGCCCAGCGCUGGACAAAGGAGGCAUCGAUGUCACCCGGGGCUCACGGAGACCCAGCAGAAAGCCCUGGCCACGCCCGGAACACCCGGCCCUGCUCUCCACCCAGGCAACUCCUGUUGGCCAGCACUCCCCAGACCAGCGCCACCUCCUCUAAGACGCCUCCUCUGCCUCCCCUCCCCCAGGCGGUUCUGGGGGCUUCUGUCUUUCCUUGCGUUCAAGACGCACCAGGAUCCGAAGCAUCAACCACAAGGAACGAACAACACCCCGAUUACACCACCGUAACACGAGACUUUGUUCAGGUGGGGAAACUGAGGCCCAGAGAGGCAAAGCACAGAAACAGGGACAGCACCAGCACCAGCACCAGGGUUCAGGCUCUGGACAUGUGGGACAAGAAUUCACCUUCCAGGGCUUCCCAGGGUGAUGGCCCGGACUCCUCAGCCAGAGCCCUGGUGGCCACGGGGAUAAGCAGCUGCCCCGCGGGGCUGAAACGUAGCCAGCGAUGCUCCUGCGAGGGGAGGCCCCGCGUCACGCGUGGGCGGCAGAGCCGGAACUCGGGGCACAGCUAUUUCUGGAGGCCGAGGCGAGAAAACGCCCGGACAGACUGGCCGGGCCCUGGGGCAAAGCCAAGCUAGGACCUGGAAAUGUGGAGCCGGGUGGACGGCUGGGCUGCAGAUUUAAAUACG